UUGAAUGUUUUCAGGGAUCAUUUCUAUAGUUUGUAACUAGAGAAGUGUGCUUGAAAGUGUCUGACCUUGCUAACCACAAUGAGGAGUUGAAGUGUUCUCUUCUGAACAUGAAGUGUGUGGACAGUGUUGCUUUAGUGCAUCUGCUAUUGCUGACUGUUCUUGCUUUCCUUUUGGGAAGCUGGAAGGAAGAGAACACAGACUGAGUGGU